rnacentral:piRNA from 1 species
UNGCCAGUUCUGGUGUCCAUCACAGCUG